rnacentral:pre_miRNA from 1 species
AUACGACUUCCUUCGUUUCAAAUUACUUAUCGCAGGUAUGCAUGUAUCUAGAUGUAUUUUAGUUCUAGAUACAUUUAUUUCUGCGACAAGUAAUUUGGAACGGAGGGAGUAGAAC